GACGAACGCUGGCGGCGUGCUUAACACAUGCAAGUCGAACGCUGAAGCUUGGUGCUUGCACUGGGUGGAUGAGUGGCGAACGGGUGAGUAAUACGUGAGUAACCUGCCCUUGACUCUGGGAUAAGCCUGGGAAACUGGGUCUAAUACUGGAUACGACAUGUCACCGCAUGGUGGUGUGUGGAAAGGGUUUUACUGGUUUUGGAUGGGCUCACGGCCUAUCAGCUUGUUGGUGGGGUAAUGGCUCACCAAGGCGACGACGGGUAGCCGGCCUGAGAGGGUGACCGGCCACACUGGGACUGAGACACGGCCCAGACUCCUACGGGAGGCAGCAGUGGGGAAUAGUGCACAAUGGGCGGAAGCCUGAUGCAGCGACGCCGCGUGAGGGAUGACGGCCUUCGGGUUGUAAACCUCUUUCAGCACGGAAGAAGCGAAAGUGACGGUACGUGCAGAAGAAGCGCCGGCUAACUACGUG
rnacentral:rRNA from 1 species